CGAAGGGGGCAAGCGUUGUUCGGAAUUACUGGGCGUAAAGGGCGCGUAGGCGGCUUAUCAAGUCAGGCGUGAAAUUCCCGGGCUCGACCUGGGGGCUGCGCUUGAUACUGAUUGGCUUGAAUGCGGGAGAGGAUAGUGGAAUUCCCAGUGUAGAGGUGAAAUUCGUAGAUAUUGGGAAGAACACCGGUGGCGAAGGCGGCUAUCUGGCCCGUAAUUGACGCUGAGGCGCGAAAGCGUGGGGAGCAAACAGGAUUGGAUACCCUGGUAGUCCACGCCGUAAACGAUGAAUGCUAGACGUUGGCGAGCAUGCUCGUCAGUGUCGGAGCUAACGCAAUAAGCAUUCCGCCUGGGGAGUACGGUCGCAAGAUUA
rnacentral:rRNA from 1 species